rnacentral:rRNA from 1 species
UACGUAGGGUGCGAGCGUUAAUCGGAAUUACUGGGCGUAAAGCGUGCGCAGGCGGUUCGCUAAGUCUGAUGUGAAAGCCCCGGGCUCAACCUGGGAACUGCAUUGGAAACUGGCGAGCUUGAGUGUGGCAGAGGGGGGUGGAAUUCCACGUGUAGCAGUGAAAUGCGUAGAGAUGUGGAGGAACACCGAUGGCGAAGGCAGCCCCCUGGGCUAACACUGACGCUCAGGCACGAAAGCGUGGGGAGCAAACAGGAUUAGAUACCCUGGUAGUCCACGCCCUAAACUAUGUCAACUGGGUGUUGGGGAAGCGAUUCCUCAGUACCGUAGCUAACGCGUGAAGUUGACCGCCUGGGGAGUACGGCCGCAAGGUUA